GCGGUUCCUUAAGUCUGAUGUGAAAGCCCCCGGCUCAACCGGGGAGGGUCAUUGGAAACUGGGGAACUUGAGUGCAGAAGAGGAGAGCGGAAUUCCACGUGUAGCGGUGAAAUGCAUAGAGAUGUGGAGGAACACCAGUGGCGAAGGCGGCUCUCUGGUCUGUAACUGACGCUGAGGCGCGAAAGCGUGGGGAGCGAACAGGAUUAGAUACCCUGGUAGUCCACGCCGUAAACGAUGAGUGCUAAGUGUUAGAGGGUUUCCGCCCUUUAGUGCUGCAGCAAACGCAUUAAGCACUCCGCCUGGGGAGUACGGCCGCAAGGCUGAAACUCAAAGGAAUUGACGGGGGCCCGCACAAGCGGUGGAGCAUGUGGUUUAAUUCGAAGCAACGCGAAGAACCUUACCAGGUCUUGACAUCCUCUGACAACCCUAGAGAUAGGGCUUUCCCCUUCGGGGGACAGAGUGACAGGUGGUGCAUGGUUGUCGUCAGCUCGUGUCGUGAGAUGUUGGGUUAAGUCCCGCAACGAGCGCAACCCUUGAUCUUAGUUGCCAGCAUUAAGUUGGGCACUCUAAGGUGACUGCCGGUGACAAACCGGAGGAAGGUGGGGAUGACGUCAAAUCAUCAUGCCCCUUAUGACCUGGGCUACACACGUGCUACAAUGGAUGGAACAAAGGGCAGCGAAGCCGCGAGGUGAAGCCAAUCCCAUAAAACCAUUCUCAGUUCGGAUUGCAGGCUGCAACUCGCCUGCAUGAAGCCGGAAUCGCUA
rnacentral:rRNA from 1 species